rnacentral:lncRNA from 1 species
CCCGACGGCAGAGGGCAGCGGCUCUCGGGCCGCACUUCUCACACCGGGAGCCGGGCCAGACCCGCCUUGCACGCACGCCCGGAGCUCCCGCCUCCUUGGCUCCUUGCUCCCGGGCCGGCUGCUGGACGGGGCGGCACGGAGUGGGGGGGGGGCAGCCUGAGCGCAGUGCUCCCGGGAUCACCUUGGUCUGAAGCCCUUGGCCUUGCCUCCCACGCCGAGGGCAAGAGAACAGGAGAGCCGGGCCUCCCACACCUUCCCCAGGGGACGGAAGCUAAAGACGCUGGGCGGCCGCGGGCUUCCCCGAGACACUGCCCGCCGGUGGGAAGCACAUCUGACCCUAGGGAGGCAGCUCCCCAGCCUGCAGGCGUGACCCUGCAAGCAGCGGAGCUGGAGAGGAGAGGCGGGAGAGGACAGGGUGGCCAGGGAGAGGCUGGCAGGAGGAGGCCAGAGCCAGAGGCAGGAGGGCCCUGGCUACUGUUCCCAGAUGCUCCCUCGGGGCCGCGAGCCGCGAGCCUCUACAGGCCCGAUCCCCGCAGCAGCCGCAACAGCCACACCCCGGACGUCCUGGCCAAGCACACGUCAGUGUGGGUCAGUGCGGGGCGGCGUGCGGGAAGGCGCCGCGCUCCCCUAUGCACAGAGCGUCACCACCACCUGGAAUCAGUGUUUCUGUCCAGGACCACCACAGCCUGGCUUGUCUGCGCUGCUGCAGGUUUAAGAAAGGGACUUGGAGGGGGGGUGUCUGGGGGUUCCCCUUGCUCCUACCCAGAAAGGCAGGCCUCAGGGGCAGCCAAAGCGCCUGGCCUCGGAGCCCGCUGCGCCCUUCCUGCCCCGCUGCCCGGGCCCCUGGGCCUGCAGAGGAAGCCGCAGCCACAGCUGCAGCCGCGGUGGGGCAGGAGGCAGGACCCGGGCAGGGCGGAGCGGCGAGUGGUGUCCUGUCCACCAGGCAUCCUGGCGCCUGCAGAGUGGAAGCUCACAAGACUCAGCAGCAAGUCCUUAGACAGAGACUUGGGGGCUGAGAUGACACUUCUGGUGUCACAGUGGUGA